rnacentral:lncRNA from 1 species
CAUAUAAUCACUUUGUGAGGUGAAUUGUGACCUCCAAAAAGACAUGUUUAAAGUUCUAAUCUUUAAUAUAUCUGAGUGUAACCUUAUAAGGAAAUAGGGUCUUUGCAGAUGUAAUUAAGAUAUACAUGACUAUGAGGUCAUACUGGAGCAAGCUGGUUUCUUGAUCCAACAUGACUGGUGUCUUUAUAAGAGAAGAGCCAUGAAUAUGUCCAGAAGUGAGGGAAGAGUAUGUUAAAACACCCGAGAUGAAGUAUCUGAGCGUGUAAGAAAUUCCAUCACAUUCUUCUGGUCAAAAAUGGGUUUAGACUCCGGGUCUCUGAAAACCAGUGUGGGAAUUUACAGUCUCUCCCAUAACUGCCUCAGGUUGGAUUCCUACCCUGUCUUCAGGACUUGAAUUGCAACAGCAGUGACUGAGGAAGGACAGCAAGCACAGUGAAUCAAGACUGAGUUUUGACACAGUAUCCAAAUCAACAUGGCUUCAAUCUUUCUUCCUGAGUAAUACAACUAACCUAAAGAAUUUGGGGCCAAAUUUAGAAAGAAUAUUUAAAAGCAACCUCAGCUCCAGCACCACUCCCUACUCCAGCCUGAGAAAUAGUUGUUCUUAUUUCCUUUGUAUUCAACCUUGGGAAAACAGUUAAUAUCAUCUCUGUAUUAGUUGUAAUCUCUUAAUCCCCAUUGUCUUCUUUGACCUGAGGCAUGUGUCUCCCAGUAAUCUCUUCAUUUAGUAAUGAUCAUCUGCAAUUUCUUCUUGUAAUGCUAAUAAUCCUUGGAUUCCACACAGGGCAGAGGGCAGUGACUUCCCAAACCACUGUCUUAUCUUCUUUUCAAACACAUUAUCAAGUUAAAACAAUUCUCUACCCACUUAGAGACUGAAGUUAUUUUUGUGUCCACUAUCCUGUUCUUCAACACACAUGUUUUUCUCAAAAGGCUUUAAAAAGUAAUAACUGUGCUGAUCAUGUUUGAUUUUUUUUUUUUUUUUUAGCCAUUUGGUGACAUCACAUGAAUCCAAAGUGAACUAGCAUGCCACAACCUAAUCUGCAUUUCAGGAAGUUACAAAAUUUCAUUCAAAUUGCAGUUUAAACUUUUCUGUGUGAGGACACAUACCCACUACCAUACUUACCCAAUCCCCAAAAAAGGAGAGAGAACUAAAUAAAACAACAUCAGAAUACAUGCUGCCUGUAACAGAAAAAAAAGAAAGAAAAGAGAGAGAGAGAAACAGAGAAAGAG